GCCUCUGGAGCUGAUAGUGAGCGCAUGAGUAGUCGAAUUCAGUUCGAUGUGAUAAUCAGCCAAUGACUGCAGUCUCAUCAACCAAUAGAAAUGAAGCAACUGACGAGACGGUAAUUAUGAGACAGCAUACGUUAUAUUUUUGUCUUAUUUCAUUUCUUUUUUAUAUCUGUUAUUCUACAAAAAAGAUAGGAAGUGAAAGAGAGAAUGAGAAAGAAAGAAGGAGAGAGACGCUUAUGUCCUUAUUCAAUAAGGAAUUACUAAGUAAAGACGAAAGAACUGUUUUUUUUUCUCAGUGAUAACACAGUUUCUUCGUACUUGAUUUUUUUUCUAUUUGUCUCCUUCGACAAAUAUAUCUUUAAAAAGUGAUACAAGAUGAUCUAAUGAUAAUGCAAGGAUAAAUAAAAAAAAUCUAAUUAUAUUUAAUCUCAUCGUCGUUCUUGUUCAAAGAGAAAAUAAAUCGUUUUCAAUUAGAUGAUCAAGUUAAUCAGAAUUUAUCACUGAUUUAUCUGAAUUUAUGUGGAGAAAUUCUCAAAAUUCAAAUAUCGUUCUGAUAACUAACUAACAAUUAGGAUAUAUAAUACAAAAGUAGGAUAUAAUGUAUUUGUAUUUACUUUUGGUUUUUUUUAUAAAUCGAAUUAGACAUUUGUUCAAAGAGAUUAUUGCGACUGUUGAUGUUUUCCUAAGAUCUAUUUUUUAUUAUCUUUCUUUUUUCAUUCUUUACGUUUAACUUGACCUGUUUGCAAAAGUAAAUUUUGAAAUAACUGUUAUAUCGUUUCUAACUUAGCUAUCUCUCUAGACAACAGUUUUUGCUAGUCGGAGUUGAGGAAUAGAAAGAUCCUACUUUAUUAUUCUAUUAUUCUACAUUCUAUUAUUCUAUAUUAUAUAUUAUAUAUAUUUUAUUAUUUUAUUUUAUAUUUUAUGUUCUAUAUUCUAAUAAUAGAGGUAGUGCUUAAUUCUAUGAACCAAUAUUUACUCAUCUGCCAUAUCUAUGUGUAUUAUGUAAUAUUUUCUUUUCUUUUACAUUUCGUCUCUCUUAAUAAAUUAUAAUAUAUAUUAUUAUUGGAUUAUACCAGAUUCUUGUUCUUAAUUUAAUUAAUUAAUUCCUGUAGUACUGCAGAAGAGUCAAAUGGCAGCAAAGUACUACAAGUUUUUAAUGAAUUUGGGUGGAUGAAUAUGAAUCAUACAUUAUAAUCAUCUAUGAUAUCAGCAUCCACUAUAGUGUUUGUCAGUUUCUGCAAACGCAAAAAAUUAUUUUUAACAAAUGAAUUAUUUUUAUAAAUAUUAAAAUUAUGAAAUUGGUAUUGAAUUGGGUUGAGAGACACUUUUUUUCUUAAGCCUAGGUAAACUGUUUAACACAUCUCUUUCGAUGUAGAAAAUUGAACAAGGUGAAAAAUCAUAGCAUGAGAUCAUUAUUUUUCGUUAGUAAGUCAAAAAAAUCGCUAGAUAUGAAUUAAACCAACAGUUUCAAUUAUUUUAAUACAUAUUAUAUCACUAUCUAUUCCACUAAUUACAACGAUUUCUUUAAGUUUUCUUAAGCUGACCAAUGUUCAAAGAUAGUAAUGUUUAUUGCAAUUUUGAAAAUUGCGAUCGUUUCUAAAAAGUUAUAAUAUUUUGGUAGCAACAACAAAAGAAAGAAGAAACUCAUAUCAUAAACUAUUGUGUAUGUGAUAUUAAUUCGCUGGCAUCACAGUCCACAGAAUAAUCAGAGGCAAUUGGAACGGAUGCAACUGUAGCGUAAACUCUAUUUUUUCAUUGUGAGAUCUUAAUAACUAAUUUUCAACAUCAGCUGUAACAAUCCAGUUCUCAGAAUAAUCAACAAAACAUAUUCUACAUCUUUUGAUUUUUGUGGCAGCAACUAAGCUAUUUAUGGUAUUUACUGAGUCCAGUCGGUAUAUAUUUUCCUUCAUAUGACUUUUCUCAUUGUUAUCAUGAUCGUUGUCACCACGUGAUCAUUAUUAGCGUCAUUAGCUUGAUGAGUCGCCGAACAUUAAAUAAAUAGGUGAGAUGUUGUCAUUGCGUAUUCUGUUUAUAGUUUUGAGAACAAAAUUGCAAUCUUUUUUCUUAUUAUUAUUUAUAAUCAUACCUUAAGAGUUUAAAUCAAAGAUAUCCAAAUUUGACUCAUAAAUUUUAUUGUUUCUUAUAUCUACUUUAUUCAUUUGAUUUUCUUCAAUGGAUUUUCUUUUUCAUUGUAUUACAACUUUCCAGGAUUUUUACAGCUGUUACUAAUCUUAUAGCAUUACUACGCUUAGUUUAUAAAUGAAGAAUUUUUAUAUGUAUCGCUCAUUUGAAUUAUAAUAUUUAAAAAUGCUGAAGGAGUAAAUAUACUUAAAUGAGGGUAAUCUAAAAUAUAACAAUAAAAAAUAUUUCAGGAGAGGAGAAUUAUUUCUCCUUGGACAAAAAGCGUUUAUCUCUGACCUAGAUAAAGGUUGAUACAUAAAAAGUUGGUUAUAUGAUAACUAUAAGAUAUAUAAAGGAUGGAAUAAGUAAUAAGUUUUUAUAUUUAAAUUUCUCUUUGAUAUUAAGUUAUUUAAUUAAAAUACUACAAAUAUAUCUAUUAUCAUAAUAAAAGUUAUAAGUUUGAAUACUACUUCUUAAAGAUGAUGAUAUACGGUAAUGUUUUAACGCAUUUCCAAUGAGAAAAUUUUAAGUUCGUAUGAGUGGCAGUGUAAUGUGAUUACUUAGCUAUCGAUUUAUCGGAAUUUGGGUACAGGUACGAUACUCGUGGAAAAGUUAUAAAUUCAAAUAUGCUGCAUACAAUAUGCGAUUAUAUUGACUAAUUACGAAGGAUUUUGGUGGAUGGUAUUCGGAAAGAUAUUUAAAAUGAUAUAAUAGAUAAAUUAUUAUAAAAAUGAAACACUAAUACAAAUGUUUGUAUUUAGAAAAUUAUUUUGUAUAGACAAUUUUAAAAUAUGUUAUACACAACUGCAGUUAAUUGGGGCAAUUUGGACAAAAAGUUAUUACUUUUUUUAUAUCAUUUUUUGCUUUUGAUUAGUCCACAAAAUUGUUUCUAUAAUACAUAUGCAGAUCUAAUGCUUACUCUAGAAGCAUUUUCUCUAACUCCAAUAUUGGUGCUGCUUAAAUGUAAAAGAAGGUUCUGUUAUGUUUGUAGGAAUCUUUUUUUUUUUUUUGUAGGAAUUAUCUUAUUUUUAUAUUUUUUCUUGUUGUUAGUUUGUAAAUCAUAAAAACGUUCACCAUCAUAAUUCUAAGGAGAAAUUAUAUACCAUAUUUAUAAUACCAUUUCAUCUCUGUUUUGAUUGUGAUUAGAUACAAUACUAAUUGAUCCAAGCAAUCUAUUGUAGAUCUUCAUAGUUCAUAUAUAUUCGUAGACCUACGAAAAGUAUAAUCUCUCAGUAUUGAACCUAUUUGCAGAGAAGGUGAUAUCUAUAGAGUGAGAUUUCACUCCCAGAAGUGCGCUUUAGAUAAAUAUCUCUGUCAAACUGUGCUCAAGGCGUAACGGAACAAUUUUCAUUUUACCUUUGCAGUGCGCCUUAUAUUGUUAUCUGUCAUUAUCAUGUAACUGAUCCGUCUUAGUAGUUUCUGGAAAGGUUCUUAUAUUGCCUCAUCAAUGCUGUCUAUGAUUAUGUUGCAACACGUUCUUUUCAAUGAUGAUAUUCUACGUCAUGUCUAAGCUGGCCAACACAUGAAGAUCCAGGUCAAUCACAACAUCUUCAAACUGAAUAGUUUCGGUAACCGAUUGUUAUGUAAGCUCUCUAGAAGAACUGUCACAAUUUAUGCCGUUUUUCAAGUAUUAUAUUUGCUUACGUGAAAAAUUGGAAAAAAACUUUGAUUCAAUAGUAUUUUUAUAUAUACCUCUUAGGUAAUGAUUUAUAUAAUGUUUUUAUAUCUUUACGUGAAUCGCAUCUCAAGCUUCUUUAAUUAGCUAUCAUCAACUCUACAACUGUAUUGAACUGUCUACAAUUUUUGUAGAUGUUACGAACUAUUAGUUCCCAUACAUUUUCGAUAAUAUUCAAGUCUAAAGAGAUCGCUGGCCAAAACAAAACAAAUCUUAUUGCAUUUAAAGUAGUUUUUUACAACUUUGACAGUACGCACCGAUGCAUUAUUUUAUUGAAAUGUGAAUUCAUCUCCAAAAAUUUUUUCUGCGUUCACGAUUUCCUCAUCAAUUAACUUCAUAUAUCGGUCAUUCUUCAAUUUAGUAUCAAUUAAUUGGAUAUUUGUUUUAACCUUGUAUCCAAUUCCUUCCUUAAGCAUGAUUUCCUUCUUCUAAUUUGGUGUUUCAUUUGAAAAAUAAAUAUUCUGAGAUCGUGGAAAUAACAUGGCCAAUCAUUUAGGCAAGUGUGAAUCUUUUCUCAUUCAUAACAACACUUUUCUCCAUCGUUUCCUCCACUCAAUAAGCAAAUUCUAAUCGAUACUUGAUGUUUCUUUGUUAAUGACAUUUUUUUUUAAGUUUCUUACGUUGAAUAUGAUCAUAUUGUUGUCUAAUAUGUUGUAUAUUAAUUGCCACUCCUGUGGUAUCUCACGUAAUGUCAUAGUGUAAUUUGAUGCAAUUCGAACAUCACAAUUAUUCACACCACGAAGAGGACUUUUGCGCUUUUUUCCUCCAUAAUUUUGA